UCGGCCAGGCUCUAGGCGCCAUGGCUCCCCGCAGUAGGAAGCGGAAGGCUGAGGCCGCGAUAGUUGCCGCAGCCCAGAAGCGAGAAAAGCUGGCGAACAGCGGGGAGGGAAUGGAGGAGGCAACUGCUGUUAUGGAGCAUUGCUCGAGCUGACGCGUCUAUGGGCGCAACGCCACGGCCCUGAGUCAGGCGCUGCGCCUGGAGGCGCCAGAGUUUCCAGUAAAGGUGAACCCGACCAAGCCCUGGAGGGGCAGCUUCGAGGUGACGCUGCUGCGCCUGGACGGCAGCAGUGCGGAGCUCUGGACUGGGAUUAAGAAGGGGCCCCCACGCAAACUCAAAUUCCCUGAGCCUCAAGAGGUGGUGGAAGAGUUGAAGAAGUACCUGUCCUAGGGAGAUUUGGGUAGAAGUCCUCAUGCUGAGCUUUGUGUCCCUGGUGAUGUUGGAACAUUAAUGAUAGAACAUGGCCAAACUUCAGUCGUGUGCCUGAAGCCGUGGUUUCUUCCCCGCCAGAAAUGAAGGUUCAGUUGUGAGGCAACCCUCUAGUAAGGCAUUGCAAAAGUUACUGGAUUUGGUUUAAUAAAAGUUGAAAUAAAAAA